GAGAAGAGGGCCACCGUCCUCCAGACCCCAGAAUGGUAGAUCCACUGACAGCUUGCACUGUGUGCCUGGAAGAGCUGCAGACACUCAAUGUCAGCCCAUAAAAGAGGACAGAAGGGAGGCUGUACUUGGCAAAGCCACAAGAUUGGAGCUGACCAAGACCAUGUGAACUCACCUCUUGCAUCGGUGUUACCUGGAUGUGAAGCCUGGAGUCAAAGAAGAUCAUUCUGGAGCUUUAAGAUUUGACUGCCCUGCUGGAUUUCAGGCUUGCAUGGGGCCUUUAGCCCCUCUGUUUUGGCCAAUUUCUCCCAUUUGGAAUGGAUGUAUUUAUCCAAUACAUGUACUCCCAUUAUAUCCAGAAAUAACUAACUUGCUUUUGAUUUUACAGGUUCAUAAAGCAGAAGGGACUUGCCUUGUCUCAAAUAAGACUUUGGACUGUGGACUUUUGAGUUAAUGCUGAAAUGAAAUAUUGCUUUUUUACAAAUGGAAUGUUCAUGGAACUCUGUGUACAGCAAGUCUGUUGUUGCCAUUUUUCCAACACCUGUGUUUACUUCCUGUCUCUGUGUCAGCAUUUUUUAGCAGUAAAGUAUUUUUAAAUUAAGGCUCCAGUUUUCUUUCCAUGAAAAAUAUCAGUUAUACUCAAAGUGAAAGGACUACCAAUGGCAGAGAAUUUCAAGACCUUGCUCUUCCUGUAAAACGUGC